CAAUCACACUGAUAGUAGGAGUCAGACCUAGAUUUUGCACAUUGUGGACUUGUGUAUGUGUGCACCUAGGGCCUAUACUUGUUACACUUACGCUGCACUGUCCCUGGGCCUUUAGGGACACAAGUCAUAACCACACCUCCUGUGAUCUAUUUCCAGCUCUGAAGGGCAUUCUGUCUCAUUUCCUGAUACCUAGCCUCUUGAAGGGUAGGGCAUGUCUAUAUUGCAUCUGCCUCACUCCUUCCUCUCUGUUUGACCCCCAGGACAGGGUUUCUCUGUGUAUCUUUGGAGGAAAUUUUAAUUUGUAAAGCCGAAAGUCUUCAUAUUUGGGCCGAUGAGAUGGACCUUGAGCCUGGUAACUUAUGUUCGAUUCCAAGACUCAUACUUAAGAAGAUGUCUUCUGGCUUUCCCGUGGGAGUCUGGGUAUGCACACGUGUGCAUACAUA
rnacentral:lncRNA from 1 species